UCAACCUCAAGUGCAGCCCUGUAGUUAA
rnacentral:piRNA from 1 species